rnacentral:lncRNA from 13 species
ACUAAUUUUGUGUUAUUUACCUAGUCAAUCAAGCCAGAAAAUUCAGAAUGUUCUUUUAUUUCCCCAACUCUCUCCACUCUCUCAACCAAACCCUGCCAAUUCUACCUUAGAAAUGUCUGCCAAAUUCAUUUCCCUCUCCCAUUUCCACAGUUAUUAAAUUAUUUCAAGCUUUCAUCUAUUUAUUUCCUUAUAACCACAUCAGUGUCAUGUCUCCCUUGCCAAAGCUAACCUCCACGUUGCCACCAGAGUAAUUUUUUUCAAGUAAAAUUAAUUAAAAACAGAUUGUGAUUCUGACUUAAUCAGUAAUGUCCAGUAACUUCCCAUUGCCCACAGGAAAAAUUCUAAGCUCUGGGUAAGGCUUUAAAAAUCAUUUAUGUUUUUUGGUGCCAAGAUGGCUGACUAGAAGUAGCUAGUUAGUGUGUGUUACUCUCUCAGCGGGGAAACAGAACAACAAGUAAACAAUAGCUCCUCAAGUGGAUCACUUAGGAGGCCAUGUUGUGAUUCAUCAAAAGAACAAUGGUGAUCCAUGAAGAGCAGAGGAGCAAGGCAGGACAGUGGCCCACCAGGCAUUGGCAUGGAGCCAAAAGAGGCUGCUCAACCCAGGAAACAGGUGGAAUUUCCAGAGACAACAAAGAGGAUCUCUGCCAUCGCCACUGCAGCAGUACCUGCCCUUGCUGUCUUUGUGCUGGGGAGCAAACAAAGGCCCUGAUCCCACUUUACUCACACUCCAACACCAUGCAGCCACCCUAUGGAGAGGGGGCCACUCUCUCUUCUUUGUGAGCCCCUGAUCCCCUGCUCUUUACUAGGCAGGGAGUAUCAGUCCAUUUUCACACUGCUAUAAAAAAACUUCCCUGAGACUGAUUAAUUUACAAAAAAAUGAGGUGUAAUUGACUCACAGUUUCUCAUGGCUAGGGUUGCCCCAGAAAACUUACAAUCAUGGCAGAAGGUGAAGAAGAACACAGCAGGUACCUGUGUUCACAAGGUGGCAGGAAAGAGACAAGAGUGAAGGACACUCUUCCAGACACUUAUAAAAC